GGCAUUUUGAAGGCAGCUUUAAGCCUAAAGGACACUCUCCUACUUGCAGAUGAAGAAGGGGAAUGUAACAUUCUAUUAUUUUGCUUUGGAUUCAUAGAAAUUCUGAACAGGGAUAUGAAAAUGACUACAGUUUGAAGUAUCUGUUAAAUACAGCAACAUGACAUCAGAAGAAAUUGAAUCAUUUGAAGAGAUUAACACAGAGAACAAUGAUGUGAGGUCACAGGGCGAAACCACUGCCCUUCAAGUUGGCAAGACUGACCGGUGGAUAAAGAGGAUCACAACUUGCCAGA